GACCGCAGUGUGAAAAAGGCACUGGAGUCAGGUGACUCCAGCUCUGCGUCUAGCUUGCUGUGUGGCCUUAGGCUUCAGUUUCCCCCUCUGAAAACAAAGGGAGGAGGGAUGGACCAGAUGAAGCUUUUCAAAUAGGUUCUAUGCCAUGUGCAAUUCUCGAUCAUGUGGCAGCACCCACCAGGAGCUGCUAGGAUUGCCAGAGAGAUAUCACUCUGUGACUGAUUUGACAAUGCCUGCCACGGAUCUAUACUGGGGAUUGGUAGCGCUUAGGCCUCGUAUUUAUUGCCUUACACUAGAUUACCUCCAGGCCUCUUCUAGCUCAUGAAUUCUGCAGUUCUCCCUCUCCUUAACCCCAGCUCAGCUCGAGCCCAACAACUCCCUUCCUCAACCGCCGACCCUGAGUCCCCCUCACCUGGACGUCAGGUAAUGUCUGCAGCUGGAGAGCCGCCUCCUUCUCCCCCAGGAAGAGAAUAGCCCGGAUAGAGGCUGGGACCUGAGCCUGUCAAAGACAACCACUGCAGAGUUGCUCUGCCCAAGGCUUCAUGAAGCCUCACACACUUUGAUUUCCUCCUUCAUCCCCUGUAAGAUGCAGGCAAAUGGGUCACAAGGACAGAGUGGGGUCCCUCCAUGACUGGAAUCUUUGUGUGAUACGUUUGGACCGUGAAUCAUUGGUUAGAAGUCAUGAGAGCAGCAGGUUCAAGUUGUGUUGCAAAUCUUUCCAGAUGACCUGCCCCUCUGGGCCCCAGUUUGCCCAUCUACAAAGCAAAGGAGGUCAGACCAUAAGUCCAAGGGGUGGUGAGCGUGCAGCCCUGUGGCCACCAGCACUAUUUCUUCUUGCAGACUUUCAACCCUGGGUUUCCGACAGGCUAUUUCCUGUUCCAGGAAUCUGGGCGGUGUGCCUCACUCUCCCCACAGGAGUCAUGAGGCUGAGGCUCCGG
rnacentral:lncRNA from 10 species